GACGAACGCUGGCGGCGUGCCUAAUACAUGCGAGUUGAGCGCUGAAGGUUGGUACUUGUACCGACUGGAUGAGCAGCGAACGGGUGAGUAACGCGUGGGGAAUCUGCCUUUGAGCGGGGGACAACAUUUGGAAACGAAUGCUAAUACCGCAUAAAAACUUUAAACACAAGUUUUAAGUUUGAAAGAUGCAAUUGCAUCACUCAAAGAUGAUCCCGCGUUGUAUUAGCUAGUUGGUGAGGUAAAGGCUCACCAAGGCGAUGAUACAUAGCCGACCUGAGAGGAUGAUCGGCCACAUUGGGACGGAGACACGGCCCAAACGCCUACGGGAGGCAGCAGUAGGGAAUCUUCGGCAAUGGACGAAAGUCUGACCGAGCAACGCCGCGUGAGUGAAGAAGGUUUUCGGAUCGUAAAACUCUGUUGGUAGAGAAGAACGUUGGUGAGAGUGGAAAGCUCAUCAAGUGACGGUAACUACCCAGAAAGGGACGGCUAACUACGUG
rnacentral:rRNA from 1 species